rnacentral:rRNA from 1 species
GACGAACGCUGGCGGCGUGCUUAACACAUGCAAGUCGAACGGAAAGGCCCUGCUUUUGUGGGGUGCUCGAGUGGCGAACGGGUGAGUAACACGUGAGUAACCUGCCCUUGACUUUGGGAUAACUUCAGGAAACUGGGGCUAAUACCGGAUAGGAGCUCCUGCUGCAUGGUGGGGGUUGGAAAGUUUCGGCGGUUGGGGAUGGACUCGCGGCUUAUCAGCUUGUUGGUGGGGUAGUGGCUUACCAAGGCUUUGACGGGUAGCCGGCCUGAGAGGGUGACCGGCAACAUUGGGACUGAGAUACGGCCCAGACUCCUACGGGAGGCAGCAGUGGGGAGUAUUGCACAAUGGGCGGAAGCCUGAUGCAGCAACGCCGCGUGCGGGAUGACGGCCUUCGGGUUGUAAACCGCUUUCGCCUGUGACGAAGCGUGAGUGACGGUAAUGGGUAAAGAAGCACCGGCUAACUACGUG